rnacentral:rRNA from 1 species
AGAGGGUGCGAGCGUUAAUCGGAAUUACUGGGCGUAAAGCGCACGUAGGCGGCUUGGUAUGUCGGGUGUGAAAUCCCCGGGCUCAACCUGGGAACUGCAUCCGAAACUGCCUUGCUCGAGUAUGGGAGAGGGAAGUGGAAUUUCCGGUGUAGCGGUGAAAUGCGUAGAUAUCGGAAGGAACAUCAGUGGCGAAGGCGACUUCCUGGACCAAUACUGACGCUCAGGUGCGAAAGCGUGGGGAGCAAACAGGAUUAGAUACCCUGGUAGUCCACGCCCUAAACGAUGAGAACUGGAUGUCGGGAGGGUCUGCCUUCCGGUGUCGUAGCUAACGCGUUAAACGCGCCGCCUGGGGAGUACGGUCGCAAGAUUA